UUGUAUCGAUGUUUCGGAAAGCGCCGUUCUGCCUUUCACUAGGGUACUAGCUUUAAUAAUUAUUUUGCGUUAAAUUGAUUUGUCCAAAAACUGGGGGAUAGAACUCUGAAAGUGCUUUUAAUCGUAUUUGACAAAACACAUUUGUUGAAACUGUAAUAUUGAAACAGGAGGCAGGACACAGGCCCAGGGAGAACGGAUGACUUUUAAUAAGGAACUAAAAGGUAACAGAAACUACGCGAAAACACAGAAGAGGUAUGAAAAAUAAUGGAAGGAGGAACUAGGGAAGGAGGAACUUACAUGGGGAUAGUGAUGAGGAACACUGGUGGGGGCAAUAAUGACAAACAGGUUUCCGUGCUCCGAAUGAGCAAGACAGACUUGAUGUGCGGGGGAUGCGACAGAGACACAAAUUAAAGGUGGUUUGAACUGCAGUCAAGUUCCUGGCAUGCACCUGAGCUCAUUUUGGAUUCUCAUGACAAAUGAGAACAGUCAGAAAACAACAUGCUGUUUGAGAAACCAAAAAGAAAAGGAUGGAACUGAGGCCAUCCACUCACAGCUCCUUUGUAUGUGAACAAUCAUUGCAACAUGAAACACCUGAUCAAUUAGAAGUCAUUGUGAGCCAAAUGUCCCAAUACAUAUUCUCACAUAAAAUGGUGGAUGGAACUCUGACAGUGCUGUUAUUCUUAGUUGUGCAAGUGUUGAAACAGA